UCUGCAUUGAGGUCAGCAAAAUGCUUUUGGCUCCUACUGAACAGAGAAGGAAACUGAGGCUGGCACGUCCCCAGAUGGAGACGGCGUUCACGACAGCCAGGGGCCAGGGGAUGAUGAGCUGGUUUGUCCUAAGAGAAGGCAUCAUCAUCAUCGUGUUGAUCUCGGCCCGGAGCGUCCACAGCGCUCCUGACAAUGCGAGUCUUCCCCAAAUGGCAUCUCUUUCAUAAAGAGAGACACAGGUCCUGCAAUCCAGGGAGGAGGCAGAGAGGAGUGCUCCGCCCCACACCUGGGCCGUGGGACCGGUGGAGUUCAGGUAAAGCCACACGGAUGGAGAAACCACUUCAUACACUCAGUGAAAGCAGUGUUCCUGAUGAGUUUGAGUCAGCGCUGGGAAAUUACAGUCAGAAUCAACUGCAGCAAAUCAACAUCCUCUCUGCCCCUCGGUCUUCUCCUCCGCAGAGUGGGCUAGAAGAAGGAUGCCAGAGAUCUCGAGCUUUGGAGGUGGAUGGACCUGAGUGUGAGUCAUGGCUCAGCCAUUUGCCAGCUGUGCAAACUCAGACAAGCUGCUUAAGCCGCGUCACGCUUUCUGUAAAGCGAAGGUAGAUGGGGGAUCAGGUAUUGUACAGCGUACAUGGCCCUUAGGAGUGUCUGGUCCAUAGUGAGGGCCCCGUGCAUGGAAGACAUAGCAACCAGGAUGUGUGCUUUCUCUGAGCAGUGGCUUUGCUCCGUGGUGUCCACCGCGUGUAUACUAAUUUUGAGGACCUGGAGCUGGUUUUGAGGACCCUCCCUAGCAAGUACUUAGGAGUCUGCCACACACAGGUUGAGCACAGAUUCAUCUCUGGCUUCAACUCACAGCUUUCCUGUUGCUUUCCUUAGGCCGGUGGUUGACGUAGUCUCCAUGAGCUGUGUGCAUCCUCCGGUGACAGGACAAGAAUUGUGCCCCCCCCAGGAAGGUCCCCAGCCUUCCCCCACCUGCCCUCUGUGGAGUAUUCUGCCUUGAUCUUCUCUCAUCCGUCUGUUAGGGGUCCUGUCUUUGUGAUGUCAGCAUGAAGUGGAAUCUGCAGAAUGGCUAAAGUGGAGGGAAGACUGAAAAUUCAUUGGAUGAUGAUAGCAGCAUCAUUUACAAUCACCAUGACUUGGAAGCAGCCGAGAUGUCCUCUGGCAGGUAAUUGGAGAAAUGAACUGUGGCACGUCCACACAGACCAUGGAGUACUAUUCAGUGCUAAAAAUGAGUGAGCUUUCCAUCCAUGAAAAGACAUAGAGAAACCUGAAAUGCAGAUCACAAAGUGAAAGGCCAAUCUGGAAAGGCUACAUACCCUAUGACUCCAAACCUGUGACAUUCCCAAAGAGGAAAAAUUAUGGGGACAGUAAAAAGAGGAGCUGCCAUCAUUAGGGAAGCAGGAGCUGAGGAGAGUCAGAGUGACACCAUUGAAAAAUCUUCUCUGUCUUGAGACUAACAAGGCACCUUCCUUGCCAGUCACAACCCAUGGUCCUAAGAGGGUCACAGCUAAGGAGGCAGCUUGGUACUGCCUGCAAGGACAAACUCCUAAAACAACAGAAAGCCCAGAUGUCCCAAUACCCAUAACAAUAUGUGCUUUCAAGAUAAUUAUAGAUAUGCUUUGAUGUACUCAUGUAGUAGACUGUUAAGGAUAGUUUUCUUUAAAUCAAUAGCAUAAUCAAUUUUGUCAUGCUGUCUGCUCCCCCUCACAGAGUCACAGCUUGGUUUAGUCGUUACAUAGACAAGAUCCCUAUAUAAGAAAAACUUAAAACAAAGAUGGUGCAUUCUCUCGGAAGGUCCCCUGCUCUGUAAUGGAGUAGGUUUUAAUAAACGUGCUUCCUUCGCUGCACCUUGUGACUCACCUUGAAUUCCUUCGUGCGUGAGAUCCAGAAACCCUCUCUUGGGGUCUGGAUCAAGACCCCUUUUCUGGUAACACCAUGGGUUGGGGAGAGGGAAGGAUGAAUAGGUGGAGCACAGGAAUUUUUGGGGGCAGUGAAACUCCUCUGUAUCAUACUGUCACAGUGGGUCCAUGUCAUUAAACAUUUGUCUAAACUCAUAGACUGUACAACACCAACAGUGAGCCCUAAUGUGGACUAUGAACUUGGGGUGAUUGAUAGUGUUUGACCAUGUCCCCACCCAAAUCUCAUCUUGAAUUUCCAUGUGUUG